rnacentral:lncRNA from 13 species
AGCUCAGCGUUCAACACAACACCAUAGUUGCCCUCAAAGCUCAUCACUAAGCUAAAGACCCAGGGAGUAAACGCCUCCCUCUGCAACUGGAUCCUGGACUUCCUGAUUGGCCUCCCCACCUAUCCACAUCGACGGGGCUGUAGUGAAGCCGGUCGAGAGCUUCAAGUUCCUCCGUGUCCACAUCACUAAGGAAUUAACAUGGUCCACACACACGAACACCGUCGUGAAGAAGGCAUAAUAACACCUCUUCCCCCUUAAGCGGCUGAAAAGAUUUGGCACGGGGCCCUGAGAUCCUCAGAAAGUUCUACAGCUGCACCGUCGAGAGCAUCUCGACUGGCUGGUUUCCCGCUUGGUUUUCCACUUGGCUACAGAGGGNNNNNNNNNNCUCCAAUUUGCACACCACCCGAACAGAUCCAUAGAUGACCCAAUCCCUCUAUUGCACUCCACACUGCCCUUUCCCACCUGGACAAGAGGAACACCUAUGUGAGAAUGUUGUUCAUUGACUACAGCUCAGCGUUCAACACAACACCAUAGUUGCCCUCAAAGCUCAUCACUAAGCUAAAGACCCAGGGAGUAAACGCCUCCCUCUGCAACUGGAUCCUGGACUUCCUGAUUGGCCUCCCCACCUAUCCACAUCGACGGGGCUGUAGUGAAGCCGGUCGAGAGCUUCAAGUUCCUCCGUGUCCACAUCACUAAGGAAUUAACAUGGUCCACACACACGAACACCGUCGUGAAGAAGGCAUAAUAACACCUCUUCCCCCUUAAGCGGCUGAAAAGAUUUGGCACGGGGCCCUGAGAUCCUCAGAAAGUUCUACAGCUGCACCGUCGAGAGCAUCUCGACUGGCUGGUUUCCCGCUUGGUUUUCCACUUGGCUACAGAGGGUAGUGUGUAUUGCCCAAUCUAUGUGUACAUAUCUACCUCAAUUACCUCGUACCCCUGCACAUCGACUCAGUACUGGUACAUCCUGUAUAUAGCCAUGUUAUUACCUCAGUACUGGUACUUCCUGUAUAUAGCCAUGUUAUUACCUCAGUACUGGUACUUCCUGUAUAUAGCCAUGUUAUUACCUCAGUACUGGUACUUCCUGUAUAUAGCCAUGUUAUUACCUGGUACUUCCUGUAUAUAGCCAUGUUAUUACCUCAGUACUGGUACUUCCUGUAUAUAGCCAUGUUAUUACCUCAGUACUGGUACUUCCUGUAUAUAGCCAUGUUAUUACCUGGUACUUCCUGUAUAUAGCCAUGUUAUUACCUCAGUACUGGUGCGUCCUGUAAAUAGCCAUGUUAUUUAUUUAUCCAUUGUUUUACCAGGUCAGUUGACUGAGAACACAUUCUGAUUUGCAGCAACG